GAGAGAGGAGCAUUAAAUUCAUCAAAGUGACCAUUCACUCAAGUGAAGAAGACUAGGGAAAAAGAUUUUUGACGAAACGGGAAGUGAGUUUGGAAAGGCGUAAGGAGCUUGAAAGGUACCGACGACAGGUUUGCUGAUCCGUCUGCUUAGGAUCUCAUUCUGCUAUUUUUGGAGCGCUCUUUUAUUCAGAGCCAUCUUUUGGUAUAGUCUGUCACUUCUAUAUAUGUAUAUU